rnacentral:rRNA from 1 species
ACAUUGCCUUUAGUCCUAAUAUUAAAGGUUAAUCUGCCCAGUGAAAUAGUAAUAACUUCAAAAUUUAAACGGCCGCGGUAUCCCUGACCGUGCUAAGGUAGCACAAUAAUGAGCCUCCUAAUUAGAGGAUAGAAUGAAUGAAUCAACAAGAAACAAACUGUCUCUUUUAUAUAAAUUGAAAUUUAAAAUUAGGUGAAAAUGCCUAAAUUCCUAACAAAGACAGAAAGACCCUACAAGCUUGUACAAUAAUAUAAUAUAAAUAAAAAUGUAUUUAACUGGGGCGGUUCAAAGCAUAAAACGCUUUAUCUUAUAAGAGAUAUAACUCCACCAAAUUAUCCAAAAACACACAAGUAAGCUACUGUAGGGAUAACAGACUAAUACUUCUUUAGAGCACAUAUCGACAGAAGUGCUUAGUACCUCGAUGUUGGCUUAAGGAUCCCACUUUAUGUAGCAGUAAAAUAGGGGGGGUUUGUUCAACCUUUAAUUCCUUACAUGAUC